rnacentral:lncRNA from 1 species
GUUGGGAGCCCUGGAGAUUUUCAAACAGACAAGUUUUCAAAGUUAUUUCUGUCCGCAGUCUGGAGUACAGAUUGGAAAGUGGAGAGAAACUGCAGACAGCGAGUCCAAAAGAGGCACCGAAUAUGGAAGCCUGCACUGGGUGGUCUGGAAGUGAUAAGGGUGAAGCUGACCUUAACAACAAUGAAGUGGUGAGCAGGACAGAUUAGAAGGCCUAACUCAGGAGCCCAGAAUGCCAGACAUGAGCAGAGACAGACAGCAUGCCAGGACCUAAGUACCACAGAGCCAAACUGCCCAACUGAUCACAGACAAGAGGGGAGGAAGUUGCCACUUUCUGCUUCUCUUCUACAGUGUGGAGGGAUCGAAAAAUGUCUCCUGAUAGUCAUUGACCAUCAUUGUAACUUCUUAUCAUAGUCCCUUGAGAUUUGG